AUUCAUAUUCCUAUGGGGCUUCCGU
rnacentral:piRNA from 1 species